rnacentral:lncRNA from 1 species
AGCUCAACUUCUGCAGAGCUAAGGAGCUGAACUAGUCAAUGGUUAGAAGAUAGGUUUGUCAUCUCAAGGGUGGUUUGUGUUUCCUAUUAACUGGGGUUGGAAUGACAAGGGGCAAUCUUUUGAGCACUAAAGUCUGGACAGAAUGGCAUAUGACCGCUAUGCAAAGGACUGAAUCCUGGUUAUAAAUCAUAGCAACAACAGCCUGAAACUGAGCUAUCACAGACUCUUAAAUCUCCAAAGUGUGGCCUGGCCAGACUUUCUUUCUGGAAUUUUCCUCCAUGCUCCGUGACCUGAUCAAGGGUUAAAGAGGAUUCCAUAUCCCACACUACAUUAGAGAAGAGUGACAGCAUAUCAGAGAGAGGCAUUGUGGACCUGUGUUUAAGUCAGCCUGUCUGAAUCCACAUCCUGGCUCCAUCCUUCUUUACUAGUGGAAGGACUGAAGCUCAAGAAGCUAAUGAGUGGCAGAAGCUUCACUUAACCAGGUUCCUUGGAUUUUCAUCAAACUACAGCAGUUUCUUCUGUACCAUGAACCAGUUAUUCUAUUACACUACCGUGGCCAGAUCCUGGAUAGAAUUCUUUGUGGAACCAGAGGCUGAUGGAGGUUUUGCCAGCUUGAACAUGUAGUUUCCAAAAUGACUCUGGUUAUCAAUAUCCAUCCAGUAGAAGGAGAAAGAGGAAGAAGAUUGUGUGGUAGAAGACUGAAUGAGCCAGUCCUGGAGUCCCUACUACUCAUACUCCAUUGGCCGGAACUCAGUCACAUGGCCACAUCUGACCAUGAGGCAGUCUGGGAAAUGGAUUCCAGCUGUGUUCCAAUGAGGAAGCAGGUUCGAUGAAGAUCUAACCAAUCUCUCUCUCACAGAGGUAUCAAAAAGCAUUAAAGAAAGGCAGUGCUAUUUUCCUUUCAAAUUCUACUCCAACUCAUUCUCUUACUCUGUAAAUAGCUUCAGCAUCUGCUCAACUUUCCACAUUAUUUCAGUCACUAAGUCUGUACUAGUCCAUUUUCAUACUGCUAUAAAGAACUGCCUGAGACUGGGUAAUUUAUAAAAGAAAAAGGUUUAUUGACUCACAGUUCAGCAUGGCUUGGGAGGCCUCAGGAAACUUACAAUCAUGACAAAAGGUGAAGAGGAAGUAAGGCACCUCCUUCACUAGGUGAAAGGAAGGAGAAGUGUUGAGCGAAGGGGGAAGAUCCCAUUAUAAAACCAUCAGAUCUCGUGAGAACUCUCACCAUCACAAGAACAGCAGGGGGGAACAGCCCCCAUGAUUCAAUUACCUCCACCUGGUCCCACCCUCCACACAUGGAGAUUAUGGGAAUUAAAAUUUGAGAUGAGAUUUAUGUGGGGAAAAGAGCCAAACCAUAUCAAAGUCCGUUUGUUUUCUCAUUCAUUUAACAAACAUUUUCUGGCUAUUAAUCAUUUUGCCAGGAACUGUGCUAGACACUGGGAACAUAAUAGUGAAAAAGACACAAUAUUUUAUUAUUAGUCAAUGAUAAUGGACUGAAAGAAGAAUAUAGUUGACCCUUGAACAACGAGGGGAUUAGGGACACUGACACCCUGUGCAGCUGAAAAUCCAUGUAUAACUUUUGAAUCUUCCAAAACAACUCAUGCCUGUAAUCCCAUUACUUUGGGGAGGCCAAGGCAGGCAGGUCACUUGAGCCCAGGAAUUUGAGACCAGUCUGGGAAAAAUGGCAAAUCCCUAUCUCUACAAAAAAAAUUCAAAAUUAUCCAGGCAUGGUACUGCAUGCCUGUAGUCCCAGCUACUUAGGAGGCUGAGGUGGGAGGAUCGCUUGAGUCCAGACCCGAAAACUUAACUACUUAUAGCCUACUAUUGACCAGAAGCCUUACUGAGGACAUUAACAGUCAAUUAACACAUAUUUGUAUGAUAUGUGUAUUGUAUACUGUAUUCUUGUAAUAAAGAAAGCUAGAGAAAAGAAAAUGUUAUUCAGAGAAUCAUGAAGAAGAGAAAAC